AAUGGCUGUUGGGGGGGCAGGUGACGGCUGGAACGGAAGACGCGCGUCAGGCCUCGCACGCCCACGGGGACGGCCCUCACAGUUUCCUUCCGGCCGCCGGUUAGGCCCUCAGGGAGGCGGAGGCCUGGCCCGGAGGGAGCCCUGCCACCCUUUCCUCGCCGUGAACCCCCUCUGCUUCUGGAAAGCCUCCCUCUGACUCCUCGCGGCUUCCUUACGUCAUGGACCGCAGGGCAGAUGAGGAUGCUUGCACCGUCUUAUUAAAGUAUCUUCCCACGGGUUGCUCAUUAGUUGCAAGAGAAAAAAACACUGUGCCUGCAGAGUGGAGAUAUUUGACACCUGACCAGGGGACCAAUGUGCCCAUCACCACUGAGAGGAGGAGGCUGGAUGGACACGGCCCCCACAUGUGAUGUGAUACCGUGAGAAAAACACACAUCACCUCUGCUGGAGUGUGAGAGGGGACGCACAGCAGAACCAAAUCAUGAGGAAACAUCAGACCCAAAUGGAGAGCCAUUCUAUUUUCAAAGCAGUUUAGCCGACAAGGGUGAGAAAAGCCAUGUUAUAAGGAAGGUCAGCUAGCAAGAACCCUGGAUGACCAUCAUGUACUGUCCAUGCUGAGACGGAGAAUGAACUCUUCCCCGAGGUAGGACCUGUCCUUAUCCACCGGCAGAACUUCUAGACAGAAUCCAGGUUAGGAGGAGAGUGAGGUUGGGGGAGGGAUGUCCUUUAUGGGAUGUACUAAUUUUAAUAUGUGCUACUGUUUAUUUGGCAGACAAUCAGGCUUUGAAACAAUUCCCAGGGGCGCCCGGGGGGCUUAGUCGGUUAAGUGCCCGACUUCGGCUCAGGUCAUGAUCUCACGGUUUGUGGGUUUGAGUCCCGCGUCAGGCUCUGUGCUGACAGCUCGGAGCCUGGAGCCUGCUUCGGGUUCUUUGUCUCCCUCUCUCUCUGCCCCUCCCCUGCUCGC